UACCAUGCAAGUCGAGCGGAGAAGGGAGCUUGCUCCUGGAUUCAGCGGCGGACGGGUGAGUAAUGCCUAGGAAUCUGCCUGGUAGUGGGGGAUAACGUCCGGAAACGGGCGCUAAUACCGCAUACGUCCUGAGGGAGAAAGUGGGGGAUCUUCGGACCUCACGCUAUCAGAUGAGCCUAGGUCGGAUUAGCUAGUUGGUGGGGUAAAGGCCUACCAAGGCGACGAUCCGUAACUGGUCUGAGAGGAUGAUCAGUCACACUGGAACUGAGACACGGUCCAGACUCCUACGGGAGGCAGCAGUGGGGAAUAUUGGACAAUGGGCGAAAGCCUGAUCCAGCCAUGCCGCGUGUGUGAAGAAGGUCUUCGGAUUGUAAAGCACUUUAAUUGGGAGGAAGGGCAGUAGUAAUACCUUGC
rnacentral:rRNA from 1 species